UCGUUGUCGUCGUCGGAGUCCAAAAAAGGCAAGGAUUUAGGUAUCAGCGCCCGUAAGCCAGAUUGAGAGCACCUGGGCCCGACGCUGUGGGAGGAUAAAUACUCCGGCCCUUUUGCUGUCGCUCUCUCUCUGAUCUGGUCCCACUCCUGCCAGCAGCAGCAGCCGCAGCACACCUUUGUUUUGUUACAUUAUGAUUGUUACCACUCCUCAACACCAAAGCUCCUACUUGUCACUCAUCCACAUCUACACCACUGAUGACACUGACUAACACACUCCACAUUGUUAAUUAUUUAAUUGUUUAAGUUAUUACAAUAAAUAUUUGUGCUCUUGGCAA